rnacentral:rRNA from 1 species
CUACGGGAGGCAGCAGUGGGGAAUAUUGCACAAUGGGCGCAAGCCUGAUGCAGCCAUGCCGCGUGUAUGAAGAAGGCCUUCGGGUUGUAAAGUACUUUCAGCGGGGAGGAAGGGAGUAAAGUUAAUACCUUUGCUCAUUGACGUUACCCGCAGAAGAAGCACCGGCUAACUCCGUGCCAGCAGCCGCGGUAAUACGGAGGGUGCAAGCGUGAAUCGGAAUUACUGGGCGUAAAGCGCACGCAGGCGGUUUGUUAAGUCAGAUGUGAAAUCCCCGGGCUCAACCUGGGAACUGCAUCUGAUACUGGCAAGCUUGAGUCUCGUAGAGGGGGGUAGAAUUCCAGGUGUAGCGGUGAGAUGCGUAGAGAUCUGGAGGAAUACCGGUGGCGAAGGCGGCCCCCUGGACGAAGACUAACGCUCAGGUGCGAAAGCGUGGGGAGCAAACAGGAUUAGAUACCCCCGUAGUC